CAUCCCAUUAAUUGAACUGUUCUUUCACCUGCACGUGCCUGCUAAUCCUACGCAACGGAUGAAGUAAAAACUUCAUGCCGGACAGAGUUAUUGAAUUCUGACUCCCGAAUUGCCUUGCAGAAGCUCUGCGAUUCACAGUGGUUUUGGAAGACUGCAGUUUCGCCUGACAGUCCUCCACACUUCUUUUCACUGCAGUCCACUGGCUGAGCCCGGCUGUCAUCUUCACACCAGAGAACUAUAAUUCAUGCGGCUGGCCCCGGAAGGCUGCGGAGCGCGCUUGUGUAAUGAGGUUUCUGGAAGCGCGAUCGCCUUGGGAAGCAGCGCCGGCCGGGUUCAGACAUCCUGAGUGAUGUCAUCGCCCGCGGCUCCACCGCUCGCGCCGCGCGGACGCGCCUCGGCCCGGUGAUUGACAGGUCCCCCCACGGCAGCCGCGAAGGCUCGGAGGCGGAAGCGCCGGACCGUGCGCGAGCUCUUUUCUGCUGUCAUGAACUUGUUAAUUCCAGGAUCUACUUAUUAAAUUCUAUUUUUGAAUAGCUGCCAGUGUUGGAUUUUCUUUGCAAAGAGGGAGGUAGAGAGGGUUGUUCAGAGACCCGCACCUGUUCAGACCUUUCGUAUUUAUCUCAUGAAAAGACAUUAAUCCCCGCAAAUUGAGGGGAAUUUACUCUUUGCUGUCACAAAAUACAUGACUCUUUCUUGCCCUUGCAGCGGUGUCGCUUUGAUGCCGACUUCUCAGAUGCACACAAGCCAUUUAUAACACUGAGAGCCUGGAUGUGGCCUUGUCCAAAAUACCCCAUGCCAGGCUUUGGGGAGUUAUUGCUUUUUUGUUGGUGAGGCACACAGGCGUGGUUCUUGCCGCCUGUGUCCUAAUGGGGAAGCAGAUGAGGGCUGGAUUGCGGGCGAGCGAGGGCGGUCUGGCUGCUCACGAGCCCUCUCUCCUCAGCGUGCUUCCCUCUAGAGCGGGGCUGGCGUUGUCCAUUAGUUUAAAUUACGCGGCAAAGCGCGUCUCUGCAUGC